UACGGGGGGGGCAAGCGUUGUUCGGAAUUACUGGGCGUAAAGGGCUCGUAGGCGGCCAACUAAGUCGGAUGUGAAAUCCCCAGGCUUAACCUGGGAACUGCAUCCGAUACUGGAUGGCUUGAAUUCGGGAGAGGGAUGCAGAAUUCCAGGUGUAGCGGUGAAAUGCGUAGAUAUCUGGAGGAAUACCGGUGGCGAAGGCGGCAUCCUGGACCGAGAUUGACGCUGAUGAGCGAA
rnacentral:rRNA from 1 species